rnacentral:rRNA from 1 species
ACCAAGGCGAUAAUGGAUAGCUGGUCUGAGAGGACGAUCAGCCACAUUGGGACUGAGAUACGGCCCAGACUCCUACGGGAGGCAGCAGUGGGGAAUAUUGGACAAUGGACGAAAGUCCGAUCCAGCGACACCGCGUGGAGGAUGAAGGCUUUCGGGUUGUAAACUCCUUUUCUGGGGGAAGAAUAAGGUUGGGAGGAAAUGCCCAUCCGAUGACGGUACCCCAGGAAUAAGCAUCGGCAAACUUCGUGCCAGCAGCCGCGGUAAGACGAGGGAUGCAAGCGUUAUCCGGAAUUACUGGGCGUAAAGGGCGUCUAGGCGGUUGGAUAAGUCAUUUGUGAAAUCCCAGGGCUUAACCCUGGAAGGUCUUGUGAUACUGUCCGGCUUGGGUGUAGGAGAGGAGAGCGGAACUCACAGAGUAGCGGUGGAAUGCGUAGAUACUGUGAGGUACCCCGAUGGCGAAGGCAGCUCUCUGGCCUAUUACCGACGCUGAAGCGCGAAAGCGUGGGGAGCAAAGGGGAUUAGAUACCCCCGUAGUCCACGCCGCAAACGAUGUUCACUUGGUGUCGGGAGCCUAUAUAUCUCGGUGCCGGAGCUAACGCGUUAAGUGAACCGCCUGAGGAGUACGGCCGCAAGGCUAAAACUCAAGAGAAUUGACGGGUCCCCGCACAAGCGGUGGAGCACGUGGUUUAAUUCGAUGAUAAGCGAAGAACCUCACCUGGGCUUGACAUACUAGUGGUAAACCGGAAACGGUGAUGACCUUUCCUUCGGGUUAGGAGCUAGUACAGGUGAUGCAUGGCUGUCGUCAGCUCGUGUCGUGGGAUGUAGGGUUAAGUCCCGAAACGAGCGCAACCCUUGUCACUAGUUGCCAGCGGAUAAUGCCGGGGACUCUAGUGAGACUGCUGGUGAAUAGCCGGAGGAAGGCGGGGAUGACGUCAAGUCAUCAUGUCCCUUAUGCCCAGGGCGACACACAUGCUACAAUGGGAAGUACAAAGGGUUGCAAUACGGUAACGUGGAGCCAAUCUCAAAGAACUUCCCCCAGUUCGGAUUGUGGUCUGCAACUCGACCACAUGAAGCCGGAAUCGCUAGUAAUCGUGGGUCAGCCAUACCACGGUGAAUAUGUACUCGGGGAUUGUACACACCGCCCGUCACACCAACCGAGUGGGGGGUACCUGAAGUCGCUCUUUUGAGGGCGUCUAAGGUAACCUUCGCAAGAGGGGUGAAGUCGUAACAAGGUA